GAUGAACGCUAGCUACAGGCUUAACACAUGCAAGUCGAGGGGCAGCAGGGACAUAGCUUGCUAUGUUCGCUGGCGACCGGCGCACGGGUGCGUAACACGUAUCCAAUCAGCCCGUUACUCGGGGAUAGCCUUUCGAAAGAAAGAUUAAUACCCGAUAGUAUUAUUAAGAGGCAUCCUUUUUUAAUUAAAGAUUUAUCGGUAACGGAUGAGGAUGCGUAUGAUUAGUUAGUUGGCGGGGUAACGGCCCACCAAGACUACGAUCAUUAGGGGUUCUGAGAGGAAGGUCCCCCACACUGGAACUGAGACACGGUCCAGACUCCUACGGGAGGCAGCAGUGAGGAAUAUUGGUCAAUGGACGAGAGUCUGAACCAGCCAAGUAGCGUGAAGGAUGACUGCCCUAUGGGUUGUAAACUUCUUUUGUUUGGGAAUAAAGUUAGGUACGUGUACCUAUUUGUAUGUACCAUUCGAAUAAGCAUCGGCUAAUUCCGUGCCAGCAGCCGGCCGUAAUAC
rnacentral:rRNA from 1 species